rnacentral:lncRNA from 1 species
GGUGUGUGCGCGCGCACGCAUACAGAGAGAGAUAGAAGGGGAAACCUUGUUCUUGAUAAUCUCCUCUAAAUCAUUCAAUUCAAACUGAAAUCGAAGUGAUUAUAGUGAAUGCUUGAAGUUCUGAUAAGCGACUCGAGUGAUAAGGUAGGUGAUAAAGCCUGGAGUGAUACACGACUUAAAAGAAAGCUCUAAGGUGAACUCAUAGCAAGUGUCGGAUGAUGAAGAUCAAGUCUCGAAGGACUGAACACUCUUUAAUUAAAUGAAAUGUCUUCAGUUUUUGUUAAAAAAAUUUAAUGAAUCUAGUAUUAUGUUUAGUCAUGACAAGCUACUAGUAACUUGUUAGUUUAUUAUCUAAACUCUUUGGAUGUUUAUGAAAAAAAAUUACUAGUUUUAAGGGGAAUUGGCCUGUAAUAAUCUCACCUAGAUUUUAUUGGCCAUUAAUAAUCCUACCUGAGCACCGUUUCGAGGAAAGUUUUACAUCAAUGGACUCGUAUCGUCGUUCUAAUCAAAAGUCCUACAAAAUCUGUUUGUAAUUUGGAAAAAAGCUUAACUCCAUUAAGUUUUUUUAACGGGGGACCAUCGUAGGAAAAAUAGGUGAAAGGUGGCACUGGUGGGGGAAUAUUCU